CCAGGUGAGGGGUGAGCAGGUGGCAAUGCCCAGGUGAGGGGUGGCAGGUGAAUGUGCCCAGGUGAGGGUGCCCAGGUGAGGGGUCAGCAGGUGGCAGGACCUCAUUAGGGCUCAUUAGAGCUCAUAAGUGCUCAUUAGGCUCCUUAGAGCUCACUAAGGCUCGUUGGGCUCAUUAGGGCUCAUCAGCCUCACUAAGGCUCGUUGGGCUCAUUAGGCUCAUCAGCCUCAUUAAGGCUCGUUGGGCUCAUUAGGGCUCAUUAGUGUGGUGGAGGAGCUUGGGGGUCCCCAGGGGUCAGCAGGUGAGAGUGCCCAGGUGUGCGGUCAGCAGGUGGCAGGGCCUCAUUAGGGCUUAUUAGAGCUCGUUAAGGCUCAUUAGCCUCAUUAGGGCUCAUUGGGCUCAUUAGAGGUCAUUAGGGCUCAUUGGGCUCAUUAGAGGUCAUUAGGGCUCCUUGGGCUCAUUAGAGGUCAUUAGGGCUCAUUGGGCUCAUUAGGGCUCCUUGGGCUCAUUAGAGGUCAUUAGGGCUCAUUGGGCUCAUUAGAGGUCAUUAGGGCUCGUUGGGCUCAUUAGAGGUCAUUAGGGCUCGUUGGGCUCAUUAGAAUGGUGGAGGAGCUUGGGGGUCCCCAGGGGUCAGCAGGUGAGGGGCAGCAGGUGGCAGGGCCUCAUUAAGGCUCAUUAGUCUUAUUAGAGCUCAUUAGGCUUGUUUGGCUCAUUACUCUCAUUAGGCUGAUUGGGCUCGUUAGGCUCAUUAGCCUCAGUUGAAUGGUGGAGGAGCUGGGGGGUCCCCAGGAUCAGCAGGGGGGGACCCCAAUGUUGGCCUUGUUUUGGGGGUGGGGACUCGUUAAGGCUCAUUAGGGACCUGUGCAGAGGCUCAUUAAUUAUGGGCAGCUCAUUAAGGCUCGUUAGGGACCUGCAUAGGCUCGUUAUAGGGGAUGGGGAGCUCAUUAAUGCUCGUUAAUUGGCAGGGGCUCGUUGGGUGCUGGGGGAUGCUGAGGUGGAGAUUAACGAGAUCUGAGGUUAAUGAGGUCAGUAGGGUUAAUGAGAUAUGAGGAUAAUGAGAUCUGAGGUUAAUGAGGUCAGUAGGGUUAAUGAGAUCUGAGGUUAAUGAGAUCUGAGGUUAAUGAGGUCAGUAGGGUUAAUGAGAUAUGAGGUUAAUGAGAUCUGAGGUUAAUGAGGUCAGUAGGGUUAAUGAGAUAUGAGGUUAACGAGGUCAGAGGUUAAUGAGGUCAGCAGGGUUAAUGAGAUAUGAGGUUAAUGAGGUCAGCAGGGUUAAUGGGAUACGAGGUUAAUGAGGUUAAUAAAGGAGCUCUGGGUUAACGAGGUCAGUGGGGUUAAUGAGAUCAGAGCUUAAUGAGGUCAGCAGGGUUAAUGAGAUCAGACGUUAAAGAAGUCAGAGGUUAACGAGGUCAGAGGUUAAUGAGGUCAGAGAUGAAUGAAAGUUAAUGAGGGGCUCAUUGAGACCCCGCCCCCUCUGUGGGAAGCCCCGCCCCCGCCCCGCCCCCCGGCCGGUGGGGGAGGGGCCGAUGUACAGAUUUUGUAGGGGGGAGGGGCCGGGCGCGUUUUUAACGAGCUUUGGGGCUAAUAAAGGCGGAUUUGGUUAAA